UUAGGGUCGAUAGUUCGAAGCUCUAUGACACAUUUUGAAGCUUAUUUAGUCAUUUCGAAGCCUUCGUCGGAGGUAGGGUUCGACUGGGUUGUCAGUUCUCCUUUCACCGUCCUGAAGGAUCUUAAUCCUGUCAAGGGCCGGGCAGCAAAAGCGUCCUACGUGAAAGCUCACUUGUAGCUGGUGGUUGACAUCUAGUGAGGGAACCAGCUUGUGAGUAAGCCUCUCACCAACCGUUCUUGUCUCCUGUUGGUUGGAGGCAGAUGUGUUUCCUACUAGAGGAAACUCCAGUGCUGUAGAAAAGUGGACGUUACCACAGCGGCUCUGAACUGUUACACUCCGCGUUCUGGGUGCAACGAGUUCCCGGCAUCACGCCAGAUCUCCAGUUCUUAAACACGUGUAAAUAUGUCGGUACUCUGCGUGCAAGAGUGGUGAUUAACAAUUUGUAUUUUGUGGAAGUGUUAGCUGUCAGGGUUGUUUGAAUGCUUGUGUGUUGUUUGAAUGCGUGUGUGUUCGUGAGUUGUGGUUGUGAGUUAUUGGGUGUGACGGGUGGCGUGAGUAUGAAUAAAUUGUGAAUUGUG